rnacentral:rRNA from 1 species
UACGUAGGUGGCAAGCGUUGUCCGGAUUUACUGGGCGUAAAGAGCGUGUAGGCGGCCUGACAGGUCUGCUGUGAAAACUCGAGGCUCAACCUCGAGAUGUCGGCGGAAACCGUCUGGCUAGAGUCCGGAAGAGGAGAGUGGAAUUCCUGGUGUAGCGGUGAAAUGCGCAGAUAUCAGGAAGAACACCUAUGGCGAAGGCAGCUCUCUGGGACGGUACUGACGCUGAGACGCGAAAGCGUGGGGAGCGAACAGG